CGGGGUAGGAGUAACGCGUGAGGAACCUGCCUCAAAGAGGGGACGAACAGUUGGAAACGACUGCUAAUACCGCAUAAGCCCACGGCUCGGCAUCGAGCAGAGGGAAAAGGAGUGAUCCGCUUUGAGAUGGCCUCGCGUCCGAUUAGCUAGUUGGUGAGGUAACGGCCCACCAAGGCAACGAUCGGUAGCCGGACUGAGAGGUUGAACGGCCACAUUGGGACUGAGACACGGCCCAG
rnacentral:rRNA from 1 species